rnacentral:tRNA from 1 species
AGGCGCGUAGCUCAGUGGGAGAGCACUACCCCGACACGGUAGUGGUCGACGGUUCAAUCCCGUCCGCGCCUACGA